UACAGGCUUACACUCUCCCAAGUGCCAAACAUAGUGUAAAGGGCGGGCAAAAACAGAAAAAGUGUAUUUCAACAGUAUCAUCUCUUCAUUCCUCUCUUUUCCACUUCAAUAGAUCUCUCUGCUUCCAACUUUGAACAUAAUCGUCAUUUUCUCAACUCCGCAAAACCCUUUGCCCUUCCCUCAAUGUCCACCGAAGAACCCCAAUUGCAAAAUGGAGCCGAAAUUGAACCUGAACGCACCCCAGAACCAAAUCCCGCACGUGAACCUGCAACUACAUCAGAACCUGAACCUAAUCUUGCUUCUCAACCAGAACCUAAUCUUGCUUCUCAACCAGAACCUGACUCAACAGCGUUGGCAAUAACGGAUGUAUAUCCCAAUGCCCAGGAACCGACAGAUGCUUCGAUCCAAUCAAACGAAGCGGACAAACCUCAAUCCAAUGACCAAAAUGCACGUCCCGAGCUGCGAAAGGACGAAGGAAGCAGAACGUUCACGAUGAGAGAAUUGCUUAGCGAAUCGAGAAGCGCAGAAGGAGACGAUGCCAGCAGUUCUCAAAGUCAACAAAGCACACCAUACCACCAAGCAGAGCAAAAUAGUGCAGCAAUGGAA
rnacentral:misc_RNA from 1 species